CGCAUCUGUGCAUGCAGCAUAUCAAUAAGCGGAGGAAAAGAAACUAACAAGGAUUCCCCUAGUAACGGCGAGUGAAGCGGGAAGAGCUCAAAUUUGAAAUCUUAAAGGGUUUCCCUUUACGAAUUGUAGUUUAAAGAAGUGUUUUCUGUUGAGGUUUUGGUAAAAGUUCUUGGAAUAGGACAUCAUAGAGGGUGAGAAUCCCGUAUUUGACCUUUACUUUCAACUUUGUGAUACACUUUCAAAGAGUCGGAUUGUUUGGGAAUGCAGUCCAAAAUGGGUGGUAAAUUUCAUCUAAAGCUAAAUAUUGGCGAGAGACCGAUAGCGAACAAGUACCGUGAGGGAAAGAUGAAAAGAACUUUGAAAAGAGAGUUAAACAGUACGUGAAAUUGUCAAAAGGGAAGCGUUUGACACCAGUGUUGUUUUUCCUGAAAAUCAAUUAAAGAACCUGUUUAUGCUAAGCUGUUUAGACUUUAUCAGCUGAUCUGUCUAGUUUUGAGCUUUCCUUUAAUGCACUUUUCAGUUAACAAGUCAACAUCAAUUUCUUUUGCUGUAAAAAAGCUUGAGGAAGGUGGCUUGAGAUUCGUCUUAAGUGUUUAUAGCCUCUUGCCUAUGCAGUCGGAGAGAUUGAGGUCUGCAGCGUAGAUCCUUCGGGGCUAAAUGCAUUUGUGCUAAGUUAUAGCAUUUUAUAGACAACUUGUUGACUAUGAUUUGUCUUGUAGCUUACUCGCUUAUGUUAUUUUACCUACGCUUAGGAUGUUGAGUCAUCACACAUCUCU
rnacentral:rRNA from 1 species